rnacentral:lncRNA from 10 species
GCCCCCUCCCCCGGGCUCCCCCGGCCGGGUCCGCGUCGCCCUGGGGUCCGGAAGGACGCGGAGGGAGGUGUGAGGGACGGCGGGACCCGGAUCCCUAGGACUCCCCCUGCCAAUCUGGUAAUGACUUCUUAGUGACCACUGUCUGCUCGCAGUACUAGCGCUUGCCUUGGAACGCGGCAGGCCCUGGGAUCACCGAUGCUCCGCCGCGGUCUGAGAUCGCUCCCCUGCGCGUAUCGCCGCUCUGGAUUUAAGGACAAUACUUUCCCCUGGCAGCCAUGCGCGCCGAGCAGAGUCAGCCCGGGAGGCUCUUUUCCCACCGCCCGAGGGAAGCCCGAGAGUCCCGCAGGCUGGCGCGGUGGGAGUGGGGCGGUGGUAACUGCGCGCUGUGCGAAUAGAGACGUCGAGGCAAGCGCGACGGCCUCGAGUGGCUAGGGAAAGAAUCCAGGGGCGUGCACCCAGUGAUUUCCAAUCUCUGAAACCAGUGAUUUCCAACUUGUUCAGCCAAGAAACUCUCAGGCGUGAAAUCACGUUACCGCCUAGUGGGUAAAAGCAAAGGCGUGGGGUACACAGAUAACUUGUUUGGUUCAAAUCCAGCCUCCCGCACGUGCUGGCCGGGCGGAGGCGGACAAUUGCUCCACCUCUGGAAGCGCAGAGCGCAGUCCACCAAAUGGAGGCAAAUAACGUGUCCAUCUCACUGCCCGGCGGUGAGGAUCAGGGGUGGGCCAAGGCCGAAGGUUGGUAAACCCAGCGCUCAUUUUAUCAGCAGACGGACUCCCUCUCUAUAUAUCCAAAGGUCUGCACAAAUGUUCCUGACAAGCUAUGGAAAAUGUUUGGAAUUCCAACUCCUGAAUCACUAGCCCUUUCCCCACAGCUUAUCUUUCUCCCUCGGUUAAUGCUACUACUGGAUCCUUUUCUGAGAAACCGUGCGACUCCCAACAUGGGCCCCCAGUUAAAAAAUAUUUUACGAUGAUGCAUUUCUCCAAUCCCACCCCACCAUUUUCAACCUGCUUAUCAUUCUCCUCCAUUAAAAGGUGGAGCUAACCCGGGUCUGGUGGCUCACGCCUGUAAUCCCAGCACAUCAGGAGGCCCAGGUGGGAGGAUGGCUGGAGGCCAGGAAUUUGAGACCAGCCUGGGCAACAUCGCAAGACCCUGUCUCUACAAAAAGAAAAAAAAAAAAGUUAGCUGGGCAUGGUGGCAUGCACCUGUGGUCCCAGCUACUUGGGAGACUGAGACAGGAGGAUCGCUUGAGCCUAGAAGGUUGAAGUUGCAGUGAGCCAUGAUGGUGCCAUUGCCCUCCAGCUUGAGCAACAGAGCAAGACCCUGUCUCAAAAAUAUUAACAAUAAUGAAUUAAAGCCGGGCAUGGUGGCUCACGCCUGUAAUCCCAACACUUUGGGAGGCAGAAGUGAGUGGAUCAUCUGAGGUCAGGAGUUUGAGAGCAGCCUGGCCAACAUGGAGAAACCCCGUCUCUACUAAAAACACAAAAGUUAGCUGGGCGUGGUGACAGGGCGCCUGUAAUCCCAGCUACUCAGGAGGCUGAGGCAAGAGAAUCGCUUGAACCCGGGAGGCAGAAGUUGGAGUGAGCCAAGAUUGUGCCACUGCACUCCAGCCUGGGUGACAGAGCGAGACUGUCUCAAAAAAUAAAAUAAAAUGAAUAAUAAUAAUAAAUUAAGAGGUGGAGCUACUAAACAAAAAACAAAACAAAAAAAAACCUCUUGC